CUGAGAGGGUGAACGGCCACAUUGGGACUGAGACACGGCCCAAACUCCUACGCGAGGCAGCAAUGGGGAAUCUUGCACAAUGGGGGAAACCCUGAUGCAGCGACGCCGCGUGAUCGAAGAAGUAUUUCGGUAUGUAAAAAUCUAUCAGCACGUAAGAAAAUGACGGUACUUGACGAAGAAGCCCCGGCUAACUACGUGCCAGCAGC
rnacentral:rRNA from 1 species